GUGAGCGUUUGCUGGGGGCUGAUUGCCACUUACCAAAAAGGGCUGUCGAAAUUAACAUCAUGGGAGUUUCAGUAGAGAAAAAAAACAAAGCUUUUUCCUCAGCAUUUUGAGUCAAGCUGAGGGCGAUUACUGCUCAGUUCUGCAUUCUCAGUAUCUACUUGUUCCUAAUACAUUGAUGGAGUGCUUCCCCACUGCUCCGUAAAUUAAAUUAACCCACGCUGAUGAGCUGAGCAGCUCCCAUGUCAGCAAAGUCAGGAAAUCAUGCAGGACUCCAAGCAGCCUCAUCUACUCCCAGUGCUGUACCAGGAGCCCCAUCACUGGGAGGGCACAGCAAACCCGUAUGCCCCAGGCAGAAAUUCCCAUGAUUAUUUCCAACUCAUUUCCAGGCUGAUGGCUGCUGGUCCUGAAGAACCACAGAAUCACUAAGGUUGGAAAGACUGCUAAGAUCAUCACACCCAACCCCAGCCUACCCCACCAUGCUCACUAACCAUGUCCAUCACUGUCACAUCUCCAUGUUUCUUGAGCAUCUCCAGGGACAGUGAUUCCCCCACCUCCCUGGGCAGCCUGUGCCAGUGCCUUGGAUGGAAGGCCCUUGGACGGUGACCAAGAUGCUGGCUGUCGUGGUGGUCCUCUUUGCCCUUCUGUGGCUGCCAU